GCAAGCAAAACCGUAUCGCGAUCGCUAAGCUCAAUGAAAAGUGAAAGACCAGUGACAGAGGAAUUUCGAGCAUAAAAACCAUGGAAUUAAAAAGUAACAUUUGACAAGAGAUAGUGCUGUUGAAAUUCUUGAUCUUUGACAAAGUUACUAGUAAUGUAAAUCAUAUAAAUUAUUAAAAGGAAUGAUUAUUAAUAAAAUAUUAUUAAUAAGAAUGGUUAACAAUAAAAUAAUUAAUAAAUAAUUUAAAUAAAAAAACACUAUUAUUCGAAGAUAAAGAGAUCAUCAACGAAGAAAUAAACGUAUUAAUAAAAUGACUAUUGCACAGAUAUAAUAUCCGAAUUGUAUUAAAAUUCGUCUUGCUUAAAACCUCUUCGUACUUGGAUCAUUAAGACUCUAUUUCCUCUCUCAUUAAGGAAGAAAAUAAGAUUCACAAAAAAAAAAAAAAAAAA